rnacentral:tRNA from 1 species
GGGGGCGUAGCUCAGCGGGAGAGCGCCUGCUUUGCAAGCAGGGGGUCGUCGGUUCGAUCCCGAUCGCCUCCA